AAUCUCGUAACCAUCGAGUCUUUGAAUGCAAGCUACGCAUGAAGCCUUCGGGCCGAGGGCACGCCUGCUUGGGCGUCACGCAAAGCGUCGCCCCCUCCCCGGAACAGAGGGUUGGAGACUGGCUUCCCAUGUGCUCCCAUCACGUGGCCGGCCC
rnacentral:rRNA from 1 species